CAAUAGAUUCCAACCGAAAAAUUGAUUUUAAUUGAUCCGAUUUUUCGGAUGAGUGCUCCAUAAUGAAUUUAAAUAUAAAUUAUAGAUAAUAAUUUUGGGACAUCGACUUUCUUGAGACCCUAUAAAAUGUUUUAAUUAUAAUUUUUGUAUAUUUUAAGCGGGGUAGCAUGAUAAAAUAAGAAAUUUUAUUAAGCAAUCAUAUUAAAUCGAUAUCAAAGUCAAUAAAUAAUGUACAACCUAAAACAGACGGCUGAACUGACGUGACAAUGACAUUUGGUGCGCCAUGUUUAGCGGAUUGGUGUACCUCAGGGUUCCAUUUUGGGUCCUUUUUUAUUUCUAAUAUAUAUAAACGAUUUGCCUAGUUUUAUUGAGUCCCGACACGAAGUCGUAUUAUUCGCAGAUGAUACAUCUUUAUUAUUUAAAAUUAAACGACAAUUACAAAUCUAUGACGAAGUGAAUGAUGCGAUUUCGUGUGUGGUUCAUUGGUUCCGUAUCAAUAACCUGUUAUUGAAUAGUAAGAAAACGAAAUGUAUUAAAUAUACUUUAAAAUGUAUUAAACCAUCUUUAAAUGUGAGACAAGUAGAUAGUAAUGUAAUUGUUUCUGAAGAAUCAUGGAGCUUGUUGAGUCAACCGUAUUUCUUGGUAUAACAGUGAACUCCAAACUGCAGUGGGGAUCUCAUAUUCAUAAAUUGGUCACCGAAUCUCAUGAAUAAGGUUUCCGCGCCUAGUGAACGCGCAGGGGAUGUGGAUCCGCGGAUUGCAGGCACAAGGAUGUUUUUAGGACCCUACCAACCAAACGAAUCUUCUUGCACUCUCUCACCCGAUGUCCGAGCUCCGCCUUGGAUCGAAACCCGGGCUGAGCAAGGGGUGCUGAAGUCAACACUGGCACUCACAGCGCUACUCCGAAGACGCUCGAUCGUAAGGAACGCGAGGCCAUCAUCGACGACUAACAACGCAGGUCUCCGAGACUAGCUUCGCCCCGCGGCAUCACCCGCGGUACGACAAUAACUUCGGGUAACAUCGCGGGACUCGACUAUCAAUAAUAAAAUUUAAUGUUUCCGAAGCGAAGCGAGGGCGGGUCGCUAUUAUUAUUAAAUAAAAUUAUGUUAUUAAAUAAAAACAAUACAUUGUA